ensembl:lncRNA
ACAAAAUAUAAGCACCACAUGAAUGGUACUUACAUUUUUCCAACUAGUAUCUAGCUUCCGCCGUGUGCUAGAGAACGAGCUGAAAUAGAAGGAAACAAAAAGCCCCAGGGAAACAGUGGCAAGUGUUGGGGAGAAGAAUCUUGAAAAGAGUAGAAAUCCCUUACCCACAUCCUCAGUCCUGGGUUAUGGGAGAUGUCUUUAGCAUCAGGCUGGAAAGCAAGAGGUUGUCCUAUAACUGACCUUCUCUAGUCGCAGCAAAACAAAACAAUAGCCAAGUUAUUCAGCAUUUACUCUGUGCCAAACACUGCUAAAUGACUUGUAAGCACCAUCUCGUUUAACUCUUAAGAACUGUGUGAGGUAGACAUGAAUUUUCCUCAGAAGUUGGCCAGAUGGCUAGUCUGAGCCCUAGAAAGGCACAAGAGCUUCACCACAGUCAAACAACAAGUAAAGGGUUUAGGAAUUCACCUGCUGAGAGUUUCAGUGGCCCCUGGAAAGAGAAAGGGUGGACAAACUGCCUGGGGCUGGGAACGAGAGUGAGGAAAGUUAGAUCGGAACCUAGGUUGCUAGCUUCCCAGGACACUACGCAGAAGCACAAUAAGGAAGAAAGGGGGGCAUGCUGCAGGGGAGGGGUGCCCGGGAGGCUUGGGAAGGGGCGUCCUGGUCACUGGGCGCCCCCCUCGCCCGUAGUGCCCAGGUCAAGCCCGCCCCUCCUGCCCUCUCACCCUCCCAACCUUAUUUAGAAACAGUGUCCCCGAGGCAGGAAGGGCGGAGGGCCGAGAAGCACGGAGCGUCCCGGUCUCAUUUCCUCUCGAAUCCCCCUGUGGAAUUCCAUUUCAUACGUCACUUCACGGAUGAGGAACUUGACGCUGAGAGGUUGGGCAAUUUGCUCAAGGUCACACAGCCGGGAUUGAAAGCCACCAUCCGUGUAAAUCCAAAUCCCGUGUUCUUUUGUGUACGUUUUUCUGGUUGCUGGGGAGGUGACCAAGGGCCAAGGUGACAUCUGGAAAGAGAAAGCCUCGAUUAGGCAGCACGUCUCACCUGGGAGAGGAGGGGGCAGAUUGGCUGGGGCCGGAGCUCCUGGGCUCCGUCGCCACCCAGCCCUAAACGCCUGGAUCCGGGAGGGAGGAAGGCG